UUCGGUUCUGGUUCCGGUUCCGGUUCCCACCUACAGGGUACCCAGAUUCGAAACCAUAAUCGGCAUCCGGAACCGAAUGAUUAAAAAAAAAAAAGAGUUAAGCUCAGCUCCCUAUGUCUAAGACAGAAACUCUCGACUCCGACUGAAACUCUUGACUUCGUAAACGUAAACCUAAUCUGCUUAGAAGACAGAAACUCUCGACUCCGACUCCCUGUGUCUGUGGCUGCCCAGUCCCCUCCGUCUCUGACUCUCCUUCAAGCUCUCUAAGGCACCGCGCGAGGGUUUCAUUUUCUCUUCUCUUCUCCAAAACCCUAGCAGUCGGCAGUCGCUUCCUGGCCAUCCUCUGGUACGAAUCAUCCUCUGCGCGCUCUCUUCCUCGGCGGCGCCUCCUCUGGCCAUCCUCUGCUCCAUACAUCAAGGCGUACUUUAGGUGCGGAAGUGAGUUUCUUGGGCGUAAGGUGUUCGACGAAAUGGCCUCGAGAAAUCUCUACUCCUGGAACAAUGUGCUCUCCAGGUAUGCAAAGCUGGGUAGGAUGCGCCCCGAGAGAAAGAUGUUCAACAGAAUACCUAAGAGGGAUAUUGUUUCCUGGAACACAAUGUUGAUCAGGUAUGCAAAGGUUAGUGAUUGCGACGAAGCAUUAAGGUUCUAUAAGGAGUUUCUGACGUAGGGGAUGAGGCCCAACAAGUUCAGAUUCGCUAGCCUCUUGACCAUUGCGUGAAGCUGAGAGAAGUAGGACUUACUAGACAGGUUCAUGGCCAGGUUUUACUUCUUGGAUACUCGUUGAAUAUUGUGCUUUUAAGCUCGAUAGUUGAUGCUUAUACUAAAUGCGGGGAGAUGACUCUUAAAUUCUAUUGGGCUAUUGGGCUUACAUGGGCUUGGACUCAACUUUCAACUUAAAAGCUCGAGCUAAUAAGUUGUGAGAUUCAAUCCCAUAUAAACCACUCUAUUUUCUUUUAUGCUUCCGAUGUAGGAUUAACUUUUUUCAAUUAAUUUUUAUAUUCCCAACACUCACCAUCACGUGGCACCGUGUGGUCUUUUUCAUGAUUUGCCUACACGGGCUACGUGAACCUUAACUGUCCGCCCUCAAGAACUUACCCUCGAGCCGGUCUCUCACUUCUUCCGGACUCGGGCCUUAACUGCCUCGAGGUGGGCUACUUCUUCCACACUCGGGCAAGGGGAUCAACUACUAUGAGCCGGGCUUCUACUUCCGUUCUCAGACUUCACUGACGUGGUGUGGAUUCCUGCGCAUAUGCGCCCCCAGGAUCAUUACCAUGGGCUCCGAUACCAUCUUAAAUUCUAUUAGGCUUACAUGGGCUUGGACUCAACUUUCAACUUAAAAGCUCGAGCUGAUAAGUUGUGAGAUUCAAUCCCAUAUAAACCACUCUAUUUUCUUUUAUGCUUCUGAUGUGGGAUUAACUUUUCCCAAUUGAUUUUUAUAUUCCCAAAAAUGACAGAUGCGAGAAGAGUGUUUGAUGAGAUGGAAGUUAAAGAUGUCCUCGUGUGGACCACUUUGGUCUCAAGAUAUGCUAGGUCGGGCGAUAUAAACAGGGCAAGUGAGAUAUUUCACGAGAUGCCUGUGAAGAACCCCAUUUCCUGGACUGCUAUGAUUGCUAGGUACAUGAGGAAUGGUCUGAGCAACAUAGCACUCGAGUUGUUUAGUAGGAUGAUGGCCCUUUGGAUCCUUCCCGAUUAGUUCACUUUCAGUAGGUGUCUCUGCGCUUAUGCGAGGUUUGCUGAUCUGAAGCGUGGGAAGCAGAUCCAUGCCCACUUGAUACGAACUAACUUCGGGGCUAAUACGAUAGUUGUGGGCUCCCUCGUCGACAUGUACUCUAAAUGCGGCACAUGCAUGCAUGCCAAAUGGUAAAUGAAUCAUGGACGAUGGGAUUAAUCGAUCUGUUGGAAUGAUAAGGUGGUAUGACGGAUUUGGUCUGCAUCUGCAAGCUGGUUUGAGGAGACUGGGCUUCGUUCGAAUUGGUGGGUGCACGUGAAACCAGGCGGGACAAUUCAAUUAAGGUUAUAAGCAUAGCUAACACAGACAGAAUUUUGAGUGUGAUGACAACAAAGAGACAUUCGAACAUUUGAAAGAAGAGAAGAAAUUAAUGGCAUUGCUCUGAUUCCUUAAGCAACUGAUUCCAAUGGUAGCCGAUUGAUGGAUUUUCAAUGGAAUCCCGCCAGUGAUUUUCUGUUAGUACAACAAUACUAAUUCCGAUGUGGAUAUCUCAGGAGCAAGGGACACACCAAGUGAUGAUAUAAAUGCGAAAAGAGGUGUCCACCUAUUAUAUAAAACAGAGUCAAUAUUAGUGCUUGGUGUAGUUGAUGCUCCCUUCUCUUCACGUCUGCAAUUUCUCGAUCUAGUGGUUCGGAUCAAGUCUUCUCCUUCUCUGUCUGUUUAGAGCGAUGCAAAAUGUCGUCGCUCGAAACUACAUAAUCUAUGUGACUCGCUCUAAAGCUACGGCAUGCAAACCCAAAAAUCUUCAAUGUAUAAACUUCUUUACGUAGCAUAA